ACAGCUCCUAAUAACAGAUCAAAGCAGGUGAAUCGGGCUUACAGAGACUCCGUUUAACUUCAAAUAUCUUCGUGAUCGGAAAAUGCAUCAAACAGCAAGUGUUUUUCUUCCAACAGUACGCACCAUCGGUGGAUCAGGCAGCUAACGAUUUGAUCGCCAGUACGCGCCAUCAAGAAUUGAUAUUUUGCCAAAUAGUACUGUGAAUAAAAAACUGCACACUUACUGUCAGAA